UGGGAGAUCGUCUAAUGGUAGGACAGCGGGUUCUGGUCCCGUCAGUGAGGGUUCGAAUCCUUCUCUCCCAA
rnacentral:tRNA from 1 species